rnacentral:rRNA from 1 species
CCUACGGGAGGCAGCAGUGAGGAAUAUUGGUCAAUGGUCGGGAGACUGAACCAGCCAAGCCGCGUGAGGGAUGAAGGUACAGAGUAUCGUAAACCUCUUUUGUCAGGGAACAAAGGCGGGGACGUGUCCCCGGAUGAGUGUACCUGAAGAAAAAGCAUCGGCUAACUCCGUGCCAGCAGCCGCGGUAAUACGGAGGAUGCGAUCGUUAUCCGGAUUUAUUGGGUUUAAAGGGUGCGCAGGCGGUCUGUUAAGUCAGCGGUAAAAGCCCGGGGCUCAACCCCGGCCCGCCGUUGAAACUGGCAGUCUCGAGUUGGAGAGAAGUAUGCGGAAUGCGCGGUGUAGCGGUGAAAUGCAUAGAGAUCGCGCAGAACUCCGAUUGCGAAGGCAGCAUGCCGGCUCCACACUGACGCUGAGGCACGAAAGCGUGGGUAUCGAACAGGAUUAGAUACCCUAGUAGUC